rnacentral:rRNA from 1 species
UGGGGAAUAUUGGACAAUGGGCGAAAGCCUGAUCCAGCAAUGCCGCGUGUGUGAAGAAGGCCUUCGGGUUGUAAAGCACUUUAAGCAGGGAAGAAAAAGCACAACCUAAUACGUUGAGCCUUGACGGUACCUGCAGAAUAAGCACCGGCUAACUCUGUGCCAGCAGCCGCGGUAAUACAGAGGGUGCAAGCGUUAAUCGGAUUUACUGGGCGUAAAGCGUGCGUAGGCGGUUCAGUAUGUCGGUCGUGAAAUCCCCGGGCUUAACCUGGGAACUGCGGCCGAAACUGCUGGGCUUGAGUGUGGUAGAGGGCGGUGGAAUUCCGGGUGUAGCGGUGAAAUGCGUAGAUAUCCGGAGGAACAUCAAUGGCGAAGGCAGCCGCCUGGGCCACAACUGACGCUGAGGUACGAAAGCGUGGGGAGCAA